ensembl:misc_RNA Metazoa_SRP Metazoan signal recognition particle RNA
GCCAGGUGUGGUGGUGCACACCUGUAAUCCCAGCUACUUGGGAGGCUGAGGUAGAAGAAUCGCUUGAGCCCAGGAGGCGGAGGUUGCAGUGAGCCAAGAUUGUGCCACUACACUCCAGCCUGGGCGACACAGCGAGACUCUGUCUCAA